rnacentral:rRNA from 1 species
UACGAAGGGUGCAAGCGCUGUUCGGAAUAACUGGGCGUAAAGGGUUCGUAGGCGGGAUGAUAAGUCAGAUGUGAAAUACCAGAGCUUAACUUUGGGGCUGCAUUUGAGACUGUUGUUCUUGAGACUUGGAGGGGAUCAUGGAAUUGCUGGUGUAGGAGUGACAUCCGUAGAGAUCAGCAGGAACACCAGAGGCGAAGGCGAUGAUCUGGCCAAGUUCUGACGUUGAGGAACGAAAGCGUGGGGAGCAAACAGG